AACGAACGCUGGCGGCAUGCCUAACACAUGCAAGUCGAACGAGAUCUUCGGGUCUAGUGGCGCACGGGUGCGUAACGCGUGGGAAUCUGCCCUUUGGUUCGGAAUAACAGUUGGAAACGACUGCUAAUACCGGAUGAUGACGAAAGUCCAAAGAUUUAUCGCCAGAGGAUGAGCCCGCGUAGGAUUAGCUAGUUGGUGUGGUUAAGGCGCACCAAGGCGACGAUCCUUAGCUGGUCUGAGAGGAUGAUCAGCCACACUGGGGCGGAGACACGGCCCAGACUCCUACGGGAGGCAGCAGUGGGUAAUAUUGGACAAUGGGCGAAAGCCUGAUCCAGCAAUGCCGCGUGAGUGAUGAAGGCCUUAGGGUUGUAAAGCUCUUUCACCCGGGAUGAUAAUGACAGUACCGGGAGAAUAAGCUCCGGCUAACUCCGUGCCAGCCGCCGCCGUAA
rnacentral:rRNA from 1 species